rnacentral:rRNA from 1 species
AACGAACGCUGGCGGCAUGCCUAACACAUGCCAGUCGAACGAGACCUUCGGGUCUAGUGGCGCACGGGUGCGUAACGCGUGGGAACCUGCCCUUAGGUUCGGAAUAACUCCCCGAAAGGGGUGCUAAUACCGGAUAAUGUCUUCGGACCAAAGAUUUAUCGCCUUUGGAUGGGCCCGCGUUGGAUUAGCUAGUUGGUAGGGUAAAAGCCUACCAAGGCGACGAUCCAUAGCUGGUCUGAGAGGAUGAUCAGCCACACUGGGACUGAGACACGGCCCAGACUCCUACGGGAGGCAGCAGUAGGGAAUAUUGGACAAUGGGCGAAAGCCUGAUCCAGCAAUGCCGCGUGAGUGAUGAAGGCCUUAGGGUUGUAAAGCUCUUUUACCCGGGAUGAUAAUGGCAGUACCGGGAGAAUAAGCGCCGGCUAACUCCGUG